ACACGAAUCACCCAGGGAUCUUGUCAAAGUGCAGAUUCUGAUUCAGUAGGCCUGGGUGGAGCCCGAGAUUCUGCAUUCCCAAUAAGCUCCCAGGUGAUGCCGGU
rnacentral:pre_miRNA from 1 species